rnacentral:rRNA from 1 species
UACGUAGGUGGCAAGCGUUGUCCGGAAUUAUUGGGCGUAAAGCGCGCGCAGGCGGUCCUUUGAGUCUGAUGUGAAAGCCCACGGCUCAACCGUGGAGGGUCAUUGGAAACUGGAGGACUUGAGUACAGAAGAGGAAAGCGGAAUUCCACGUGUAGCGGUGAAAUGCGUAGAGAUGUGGAGGAACACCAGUGGCGAAGGCGGCUUUCUGGUCUGUAACUGACGCUGAGGCGCGAAAGCGUGGGGAGCAAACAGG